rnacentral:rRNA from 1 species
GAUGAACGCUAGCGGCAGGCUUAAUACAUGCAAGUCGAGGGGCAGCAGGGGUGUAGCGAUACACUUGCUGGCGACCGGCAAACGGGUGCGGAACACGUACGCAACUUACCCUGAACUGGGGGAUAGCCCGGGGAAACCCGGAUUAAUACCCCGUAACACUGUGAGGUGGCAUCACCUUAUAGUUAUAGCUCCGGUGGUUCAGGAUGGGCGUGCGGCUGAUUAGGUAGUUGGUUGGGGUAAUGGCCCACCAAGCCUACGAUCAGUAACUGGUGUAAGAGCACGACCAGUCAAAAGGGCACUGAGAAACGGGCCCGACUCCUACGGGAAGCAGCAGUAAGGAAUAUUGGGCAAUGGAGGCAACUCUGACCCAGCCAUGCCGCGUGGAGGAUGAAGGCCCUCUGGGUUGUAAACUUCUUUUACCUGGGACGAAACCUUUCUUUUCUAAGGGAGUUGACGGUACCAGGGGAAUAAGCACCGGCUAACUCCGUGCCAGCCGCCGCCGUAAAAC